GGGAAGGUGGCUCAGUGGUAGAGUGCUUGCCUUGCAUGCAUGAGGCCCUGGGUUCGAUUCCCCAAUACCA
rnacentral:tRNA from 1 species